rnacentral:rRNA from 1 species
GACGAACGCUGGCGGCGUGCCUAAUACAUGCAAGUCGAGCGGACCAAAGGGAGCUUGCUCCUGGAGGUUAGCGGCGAACGGGUGAGUAACACGUGGGCAACCUGCCUGUAAGACUGGGAUAACAUCGAGAAAUCGGUGCUAAUACCGGAUAAUAAAAAGAACUGCAUGGUUCUUUUUGAAAGAUGGUUUCGGCUAUCACUUACAGAUGGGCCCGCGGCGCAUUAGCUAGUUGGUGAGGUAACGGCUCACCAAGGCGACGAUGCGUAGCCGACCUGAGAGGGUGAUCGGCCACACUGGGACUGAGACACGGCCCAGACUCCUACGGGAGGCAGCAGUAAGGAAUCUUCCGCAAUGGACGAAAGUCUGACGGAGCAACGCCGCGUGAGUGAUGAAGGUUUUCGGAUCGUAAACUACUGUUGUUA